GGCUGAGAUUAAAACAUUUUGGUUGUUUCGAUUAUUUUAGUUUUGGGUUUAGUGGGCCAGUCCAAAAAUGAUAAAGAUACAAAAAUAAGAAAAUAUUAAGUAAGAAAGCUAAAAAAAUAAAAAUUUGAGAUAUAUAAUAGGCUUAAUUACUUUAAAAAUCUUAGAUUUUUUUUUUUAGAAGUUUUCAUUUUUAUUCUAAACUUUGAUUCAUUGCAAUCAAGUCCUCAAACUUUUAUAAUAUUGUAU
rnacentral:lncRNA from 1 species